CUUUGCUCCAUGCUACAGUGCUUUUGAUUUUCAAAUGGCAAUUUAUAUUAAAAAUUCCAUAGAUGGAUGAGGAGUAUUAGUUAAAAUAUAUAUUGGUGUUAACAUUUUUGUUUUCUAUCAAUCAAUUGACAAAAUAUUCCAUUUUUAGGUUUGUGUUUGAGGAAAGAAAUGGUACAUUAUUAAUCAUCACACAAAUGAUGCU